UCCUUGGUGGAUUCUCUUUUUUUUUUUUUCAGAGCGCCUGUCCUGGCGCAGAGAUGGGGGGGCGGAGUUCUCGGUCGCGCGCAGUGUGGCGUCGGCACUGGCAGUACAACAAAAUGGCGACGGUUUCUGAGCGUGUGCCUUGCCUGAGCAGAAGGGGGAUCGACGUGCUGUUUGAUGCAGCCUCAUUCGCCGGUCUUCACCUCGUUCUGAUUGGGUAGCGUGGCGGCCGCGAAGCAGCAAACGCGCGGCCCAAAAUCGUGCAGAGCUGUGAACCAGCUGUGAAAUCGGCUGCAUUUUAUCGUACGGCCGCGGACUACUGCACGGCUUGCACAUCAGUCCCAUAUCUGCACAGGAGUGUCCCAAGGUCCGUCUGCGCAGACGGCCAGGUCAGGCGCUAGACGCAGGCUUUCAAGGGGCUAAUGAGAUGCAAGGAUGCCAAUCCUGCAUCGACGGCUUCAUAAGUCACAGCGUUCGAUACACCUCUGGUUGAAGGUGUGUUCACUAGCGAAAUCAGUAGCUGUCACGAUUGGCUGUACUGAAGACCUGCACGGCCCGACCAUACCUGGGUCAAAUAGGUAUUUGUUUUGGAUUCAAAUACUUUUCUGUGCUCUGUUGAUCUUGGUUGGUGUAAAUGAGCCUGCCAAUAUGGUCAAAAGGCGGGGUUUGCACUUUUUGAGAGUAUAUAAAUUGUUCCAAUACACCAGACAAGAUCAGUAAAGCGCAGAAAAUUAUCUGAAUACAAAACAAAUACGUAUUUGACCCAGGUCUGGGGCCUACACGGCACGCGAUUGGGCAGCAGCGCCGAUUUAAAUGGAGGCCACUGAGAAGGUUGUCGCCGUGGUUACGACAGCACACAGCUGAUCCCGCUUCUGCUCGGACCUGAACCCGCCACGGACGCUCAAGACUCGUAAAAACUGCGGUACCUUUGUCACAGAGGAAAGAAAAAAACUAGUUUGUUAAUAAACUUCAUAAAAACAUGCUA